AGUAAAGUAAGCUAAAAAUAAGCUGUUGGGUUCAUACCCCAAAAAUGGAUAAAUUAAAUUUCCUUUAUUA
rnacentral:tRNA from 2 species